UACAGAGGAGCCAAGCGUUGUCCGGAUUGACUGGGCGUAAAGCGCACGCAGGCGGGGGUGCGCGUGGGGUGUGAAAUCUGGCCGCUUAACGGCCAGGCGCCAUCCCAUACGGCACGCCUGGAGCCUUGCAGAGGUCCGGUGGAAUUGCCGGUGUAGUGGUGAAAUGCGUAGAGAUCGGCAGGAACACCCAGGGGGAAACCAGCCGACUGGGCAAGUCGCUGACGCUGAGGUGCGAGAGCGUGGGGCAGCGAACCGG
rnacentral:rRNA from 1 species